rnacentral:rRNA from 1 species
CCUACGGGAGGCAGCAGUGGGGAAUAUUGGACAAUGGGCGAAAGCCUGAUCCAGCAAUGCCGCGUGAGUGAUGAAGGCCUUAGGGUUGUAAAGCUCUUUUACCAGGGAUGAUAAUGACAGUACCUGGAGAAUAAGCUCCGGCUAACUCCGUGCCAGCAGCCGCGGUAAUACGGAGGGAGCUAGCGUUGUUCGGAAUUACUGGGCGUAAAGCGCGCGUAGGCGGCGAUUCAAGUCAGAGGUGAAAGCCCGGGGCUCAACCCCGGAACUGCCUUUGAAACUAGAUUGCUAGAAUCUUGGAGAGGUCAGUGGAAUUCCGAGUGUAGAGGUGAAAUUCGUAGAUAUUCGGAAGAACACCAGUGGCGAAGGCGACUGACUGGACAAGUAUUGACGCUGAGGUGCGAAAGCGUGGGGGGCAAACAGGAUUAGAUACCCUGGUAGUCCACGCCGUAAACGAUGAUAACUAGCUGUCCGGGCACUUGGUGCUUGGGUGGCGCNGCUACGCAUAAGUUAUCCGUCCGUCGGGAGGUACGGUCGCGAGAGUUAAACUACGAAAGUAAGUUAGUACGGUUCGUUGAGACGUUGCCGACGGCGACGACGAGGGAGGAGG